rnacentral:sRNA from 2 species
UAUUGCGAAUCGCUUAAUCCGCGCAUACGCGCGGAGCGGGGGAACCAAUUUAUACAGGGGCUAAUCCACUAAUGUGGUAGGGAAUCCUUUGUCCCGAACCCGUCAGCUAACCCCGUAAGCGAAGAAAGGAGAGAUU